AGGGUUUUGAUUAUGGCUCAGAACGUACGCUGGCGGCACGCCUAAUACAUGCAAGUCGAACGAAGUAGUAAUACUUAGUGGCAGACGGGUGAGUAACAUGUAGGUAUCUUCCCAUUGGUGAGGAAUAACACGAGGAAACUUGUGCUAAUACCUCAUAAGUCUUUACGGAGAAAGCUUUAUGCGCCGAUGGAUGAGCCUGCACUUGAUUAGUUUGUUGGUAGGGUAAUGGCCUACCAAGACAAUGAUCAAUAGCUGAUUUGAGAGGAUGAUCAGCCACAUUGGGACUGAGACACGGCCCAAACUCCUACGGGAGGCAGCAGUAGGGAAUCUUGCACAAUGGGGGAAACCCUGAUGCAGCGAUGCCGCGUGAGUGAAGAAGGCCUUUGGGUUGUAAAGCUCUUUCGUCGGGGAAGAAAAUGACUGUACCCGAAUAAGAAGGUCCGGCUAACUUCGUGCCAGCAGCCGCGGUAAUUC
rnacentral:rRNA from 1 species